rnacentral:rRNA from 1 species
CUCAUACGGAGACGUCUUACCGAGUUUACACUCCCAAACCCAUGUGAACAUUACCUCUAUGUUGCUUCGGCGGAGCCGCCCCGGCGCCCGGAACCCCCUGCGGUCCCGCGGCCCGGAACCAAGGCGCCCGCCGGAGGCCACAAACUCUUCUGUUUUUACAGUUUCUUCUGAGUGUGCCGCAAGGCAGUAUACAAAUGAAUCAAAACUUUCAACAACGGAUCUCUUGGUUCUGGCAUCGAUGAAGAACGCAGCGAAAUGCGAUAAGUAAUGUGAAUUGCAGAAUUCAGUGAAUCAUCGAAUCUUUGAACGCACAUUGCGCCCGCCAGAAUUCUGGCGGGCAUGCCUGUUCGAGCGUCAUUUCAACCCUCGAGCUCCCCUUUCGGGGGGAGCCCGGCGUUGGGGACCCGGCGCUAACAACGCCGGCCCCGAAAUGGAGUGGCGGCCCGUCCGCGGCGACCUCUGCGUAGUAACAACCACUCGCACCGGGACCCGGGCGCGGCCACGCCGUAAAACACCCCACCUUCCGAAUGUUGACCUCGAAUCAGGUAGGAAUACCCGCUGAACUUAAGCAUAUCAAAAGGCGGGAGGAA